rnacentral:rRNA from 1 species
UGGGGAAUCUUGGACAAUGGGCGAAAGCCUGAUCCAGCCAUGCCGCGUGAGUGACGAAGGUCUUCGGAUUGUAAAGCUCUUUUGGCGGGGACGAUAAUGACGGUACCCGCAGAAUAAGCCCCGGCUAACUUCGUGCCAGCAGCCGCGGUAAUACGAAGGGGGCUAGCGUUGUUCGGAAUUACUGGGCGUAAAGCGCACGUAGGCGGACUCUUAAGUCAGGGGUGAAAUCCCGGGGCUCAACCUCGGAACUGCCUUUGAUACUGUGAGUCUUGAGACCGGAAGAGGUGAGUGGAAUUCCUAGUGUAGAGGUGAAAUUCGUAGAUAUUAGGAAGAACACCAGUGGCGAAGGCGGCUCACUGGUCCGGUUCUGACGCUGAGGUGCGAAAGCGUGGGGAGCAAACAGG